AUGUCCGCCUCGGCAUUUCGUCAAACACGUAGUAGGUCGGCCGGUGCGCCCAAUGAGUGCUGCCUCCGCUCGGUCGCCGCUACUCCCGUCCCGCAACUCCGCCGUGCUACUCGCCCGGCAGCAGCAGCUCGCUUGAGAGAAGCUGCCCGCACCCGCCUCCGCGAUGCUCUCAAUCCGCGACGAAGCUCGUGCUCCCCGCUCGUGCCCGCUACUCCGAGCUCGCGCCACUGUGCGCCACCGAGCCUAGUCGCCAUGCUCCCCGACACCCCGAGCGCAAGUAGCCAAGCGCGAGGUGCCGCCCCGCGCCCGCAGCUACCACCGCAGCCUCGAUGCCGCGCUGACCUGCAGGAGCAUCGACGCCGCAUGGCGCUGGCGGUGCCGAUAGCAGCGAGCGCGGGGAAGCAUGGCGGGCGUCGGGGCAAGCAUGCUUGUCGGCUGGGGAUGUGCGAGGCGCGGCAUGGCGCUGGCGGGGAUGGCAGAGGGGUUGAAGCACCAUGGUACAUCACCUACCCAGUGCGUGCACUGGUCGACGGUGUCGGCGUCCGUGGACGUCGUGUUCCUCCUUGCACGCUUUUGUUGUGGUGCUCCCACUCCUGUCUUACUCCGGGUGAAAACUUGAUCUUCGGAUCAGACGAUGACGAUGUUCGUGGUCGUGCCCUUCCUAGAGGCAUCGUCUUUGAGUCCUCGGUCCAACGUGUCCGUCGCACAUCUUUCCUGAUGAUCGCUCCUCGUGCUGCUUAUAUUAACCUUCCCGCUAAAUACCCUCAUAACAGAACCACACCACGAUGUCUUUCACGGGAGAUUGGAUCUGAGCUCUCGCCCCUGCUUUCUCUGUGCUGCCGGCGUCAUGACGGCGUCAACACAGCGAACCACACUCCAGUCAGCUGCACGGCGUCAGGUUAUUCCACCCGAUCUCCUCCCUUCCUGGAACCUCCGCUCCUCCUCGAUCUCGCCCUCCCCCAUCUCCUCUGCGCCCGCCGAUGUGGGCCGCGUCUCCGUGUCCUCGGCCAUGCCGGCGGCAGCAGCGAUGCGGUCUGGCGUCGGCGCCGACGGAGUUCCCGUCUCAUCUCCUUUCCCAUUAAUCCCGUGUUUGGAGUCUGGACCAAGCACGACACACCUCGGUGUUGCACGCCGCGACAAUGCCCGCCCGGGCUCAAACCCCCCCUCCCCCACGAGCUCCUCCUCCUCGACGCGCCGCUCUCUUCGUCCCUUCUCUCCUCUGCUCGCCUCUUGGUCGUAGAACUAGUCAGGGCAGGGGACGACAUGGCCGCCGCUAUGCAGUGUCGUCACCGACGACCGCCAGAGGAGCAGCUUCCCCUGCACGCGCCCCAUCCCGCAGAGCGCGCUCCAGCUCAUGGGCUGCAAGCCACGCCACACCUUCAAGGUGUGUCUUCCCCCAUCUUGCUUGUCCCCCAAUCUGUUAGGCUGACAGCGGUGCAUCAGGUACAGAGACAAUCCCACGGCGGCCUUGUUCGGAACUGGUUCAUGGGUAGGCCGGGUCUUGUUCAGACGUGGCCAGGCCUUGGUGUAGCCUCGUGGGCUGUAGCCUUUUGGGUAGGUUUGGUGUGGCUGGGCAUCAAGGCGUCAAUGCCCUUAGCCACUGACCUCAGCUCCAGCUCAAAGGGCCAGAACAGAGAAGAAGCAGAGCAGCUAGCCUCGGGUGAACGCAGCCAAAAGAACGGCGAUAACCGUAAGAAACAGAAGACAAAACACAAAAUUGGAUCAAAAUCUUACUCGCAAGUAAGCUUUGAGAAGAACAAAACACGUCAAGAGGUUCAAAACAAAGAAACUGAAACUGAAGGUCCACUUUCAAGUGAGCAGAAAAACAAUAUUUUCCAGACCUCAUACAAAGACACUCUGAAAUGCAAGUCAUGGCAGCCUCGUGGGUACGGAUACAUGGCCAAACCUUCAACUGGUUCUCAAAGGUUUCGUAUCCAGAUUGAAGAGCAAGCCUACAGCAGCCACCCAACAGCAAAACUCUGA
rnacentral:rRNA from 1 species